UAUUUAAAACUUAAAAGGUUUGGCGGUUUUACAUAUCCAGUUAGGGGAGUUUGUUAAUAUAAUUUGAUAAUCCACAUUUUAAACUUACUUUUUUUUGAAUUAUAUAUAACAGUUUAUAUAUUGCUGUCGGCAGUUUAUAUUUUAAGAGUAAAAGGACUUUUGAAUUUUAGGAUUUAUAUGUCAAGUCAUAAUGUAGCUGAUAAAGAAGGUUUAAUGGACUACUAUAAUUUAUAUUAUUUACUUAUCCGGAUAAUGAAAAUUAAAUUUUGUUAGUAAGGUGGACUUGAUAGUAAACUUGGUUAUUAGUAUGUGUAGUUGAAUGUGGUUUUGUAAAGUG
rnacentral:rRNA from 1 species